AACGAACGCUGGCGGCAGGCCUAACACAUGCAAGUCGAGCGAGGACUUCGGUCCUAGCGGCGGACGGGUGAGUAACGCGUGGGAACGUGCCCUUUGCUACGGAAUAGCCCCGGGAAACUGGGAGUAAUACCGUAUGUGCCCUUUGGGGGAAAGAUUUAUCGGCAAAGGAUCGGCCCGCGUUGAAUUAGGUAGUUGGUGGGGUAAUGGCCUACCAAGCCGACGAUCCAUAGCUGGUUUGAGAGGAUGAUCAGCCACACUGGGACUGAGACACGGCCCAGACUCCUACGGGAGGCAGCAGUGGGGAAUCUUAGACAAUGGGCGCAAGCCUGAUCUAGCCAUGCCGCGUGAGCGAUGAAGGCCUUAGGGUUGUAAAGCUCUUUCAGUGGGGAAGAUAAUGACGGUACCCACAGAAGAAGCCCCGGCUAACUCCGUGCCAGCCGCCGCGGUAAGAC
rnacentral:rRNA from 1 species